rnacentral:rRNA from 1 species
CUACGGGUCGCUGCAGUGAGGAAUAUUGCACAAUGGGGGGAACCCUGAUGCAGCAACGCCGCGUGGAGGAUGACGCAUUUCGGUGUGUAAACUCCUUUUAUAUGUCAAGAAAAUGACGGUAGCAUAUGAAUAAGCACCGGCUAACUCCGUGCCAGCAGCCGCGGUAAUACGGAGGGUGCAAGCGUUACUCGGAAUCACUGGGCGUAAAGGACGCGUAGGCGGGCUUGUAAGUCAGGUGUGAAAUCCUACAGCUUAACUGUAGAACUGCACUUGAAACUACGAGCCUAGAGUAUGGGAGGGGCAGAUGGAAUUAGUGGUGUAGGGGUAAAAUCCGUAGAUAUCACUAGGAAUACCUAAAGCGAAGGCGAUCUCCUGGAACAUUACUGACGCUAAGGCGUGAAAGCGUGGGGAGCAAACAGGAUUAGAUACCCUUGUAGUC